GAUGAACGCUGGCGGCGUGCUUAACACAUGCAAGUCGAACGAUGAAGCCCAGCUUGCUGGGUGGAUUAGUGGCGAACGGGUGAGUAACACGUGAGUAACCUGCCCUUGACUCUGGGAUAAGCCCGGGAAACUGGGUCUAAUACCGGAUAGGAGCGCCUGUCGCAUGACGGGUGUUGGAAAGAUUUUUCGGUCAUGGAUGGACUCGCGGCCUAUCAGCUUGUUGGUGAGGUAAUGGCUCACCAAGGCGACGACGGGUAGCCGGCCUGAGAGGGUGACCGGCCACACUGGGACUGAGACACGGCCCAGACUCCUACGGGAGGCAGCAGUGGGGAAUAUUGCACAAUGGGCGGAAGCCUGAUGCAGCGACGCCCGCGUGAGGGAAUGACGGCCUUUCCGGGUUGUAAACCUUCUUUCCAUAGGG
rnacentral:rRNA from 1 species